rnacentral:ncRNA from 1 species
CUUAUCCAGAGUGGCGGAGGGACCGGCCCGAUGAAACCACGGCAACCUGCGAUGCAAGGUGCCAAUUCCGGCGGAAACGCAAGAUGA